rnacentral:sRNA from 1 species
AUGAAAGAUGCUGGAUUAACAGACCCCAUUUAUCAACAGCAAAGGUAGCAGCAGAACAAGCUUCCCCUUACUGCCCUGCCAAUGUGCCUUGAACUUGUCCUAGAAGGACUGCUUCUAGGGAUGAAAGGCCAUUUCCAUCUCUCUCUUCCCCAUUCAGUCGUUGGGCUACA